rnacentral:rRNA from 1 species
GGGAGCCCGGAGAUGGAUCCUGAGACAAGGAUCCAGGCCNNACGGGGCGCAGCAGGCGCGAAAACUCCGCAAUGCGCGAAAGCGUGACGGGGUCACCCCGAGUGCCGUCUGCUGAAGACGGCUUUUCCUUGGUAUAAAUAGCCAAGGGAAUAAGGGGAGGGCAAGCCUGGUGUCAGCCGCCGCGGUAAUACCAGCUUCCCGAGUGGUAAGGACGAUUAUUGGGCCUAAAGCGUCCGUAGCCGGUUUGGUAAGUUCCUCGUUAAAUCCAACGAUCCAAUCGUUGGGUCGCCUGGAAUACUGCUAAGCUAGGAGGUGGAAGAGGCCGGCGGUACUUUUAGGGUAGGGGUGAAAUCCUAUAAUCCUAGAAGGACUACCAGUGGCGAAGGCGGCCGGCCAGGACACGCUCGACGGUGAGGGACGAAAGCUGGGGGAGCGAACCGGAUUAGAUACCCGGGUAGUCCCAGCUGUAAACGAUGCGGGCUAAGUGUCGGAAUGGCUUUAAAGCCAUUCCAGUGCUGCAGGGAAGCCGUUAAGCCCGCCGCCUGG